GCGUUCGUGGUGUAACGGUAGCACACUCGACGCGUAUUCGAGAGGUCCAAGUUCGAUUCCCGGCGAGGGCA
rnacentral:tRNA from 1 species